CCUACGGGAGGCAGCAGUGGGGAAUUUUGGACAAUGGGGGGAACCCUGAUCCAGCCAUGCCGCGUGUGUGAAGAAGGCCCUCGGGUUGUAAAGCACUUUCAGUGAGGAAGAACGCCUGGUGGUUAAUACCCAUCAGGAAAGACAUCACUCACAGAAGAAGCACCGGCUAACUCCGUGCCAGCAGCCGCGGUAAUACGGAGGGUGCGAGCGUUAAUCGGAAUUACUGGGCGUAAAGCGCGCGUAGGUGGCUUGAUAAGCCGGUUGUGAAAGCCCCGGGCUCAACCUGGGAACGGCAUCCGGAACUGUCAAGCUAGAGUGCAGGAGAGGAAGGUAGAAUUCCCGGUGUAGCGGUGAAAUGCGUAGAGAUCGGGAGGAAUACCAGUGGCGAAGGCGGCCUUCUGGACUGACACUGACACUGAGGUGCGAAAGCGUGGGUAGCAAACAGGAUUAGAUACCCGAGUAGUC
rnacentral:rRNA from 1 species